AAAACAUCGAAAUGACCCAUGCUGGUGUAAGGACAGGUUUACAUGCUGGGAGAUUUUGUUGUGUAAACUGAUAUACAGCAUCAUCUAAAUGUCGUCGAACUGGAUGUGACCGAGAUUCUACAGACUGUGCACCAUUUCCAGACAAAGUACUUGGUCCCUCCACAUCCAUUCAAUCAAAUUAUGAUAGCAAAGCCCUGUAGACUCUGUACUCAAGAAUCUUCAGCUAGGGCAAAAAAAUCUACAGGUAGUAAAUUUUGCAUAUAAAUUU
rnacentral:misc_RNA from 1 species